CCUACGGGAGACAGCAGUGGGGAAUAUUGCACAAUGGGGGAAACCCUGAUGCAGCGACGCCGCGUGAGUGAAGAAGUAUUUCGGUACGUAAAGCUCUAUCAGCAGGGAAGAAAAUGACGGUACCUGACUAAGAAGCCCCGGCUAACUACGUGCCAGCAGCCGCGGUAAUACGUAGGGGGCAAGCGUUAUCCGGAUUUACUGGGUGUAAAGGGAGCGUAGACGGCAGCGCAAGUCUGGAGUGAAAUCCCAUGGCUUAACCAUGGAACUGCUUUGGAAACUGUGCAGCUAGAGUGCAGGAGAGGUAAGCGGAAGUCCUAGUGUAGCGGUGAAAUGCGUAGAUAUUAGGAGGAACACCAGUGGCGAAGGCGGCUUACUGGACUGUAACUGACGUUGAGGCUCGAAAGCGUGGGGAGCAAACAGGAUUAGAUACCCCGGUAGUC
rnacentral:rRNA from 1 species